rnacentral:lncRNA from 1 species
AAUUUUGAUUGUAACAUCAAGAAUUCAAACUCAAGUUUUUGUAGUUGGAAAGAUUGUAAUUCAGUUAAUGUUCUACACUGGUAUAUCGUUAAAUACUAAUAAAAAUUAACUUUUUAUUCUGAGAAGCCUUCUAAGGUCAUCUUUAGAUUCUGUUUAUCUAUGUAUCUCAUAGUUCUAGUUUUAUGGUUAUCUUGUUCACUUCGUUUUGUAUGUAAAAAUAUUCAGAUUUGUCAGUAUGAAUUUAAGUUGGUCACAUGAGCAAUCUAUUUGCCCAGAUGUAUCUAUUUGGAAAGCUUGUCUCCGUCAUACAGAUGAUGUCACAGUUGAAGACUUCUUCCAGAAAUAUUUGUAAUUCUUCCUGAAUGUGUUGAUGGAUGUGUAAAGAGUUUUUCACUCUUUCUGCCAAACACUAUAUGUAGUUCCAUUUUUGAAGUUAGGUGAGGAAUACUUAUUAUAAGAUUUUUAAUAAAUGGUUUUGAGCUGUAAUAGGUGACAAAAAGCAUCCAAAGUGUUAGAGAUGAUACAAAACUGCAAAGAAAGAGUCUCAUGCUUAAUGUUAAAAUAAAAAGUUUGAAAUGUCUCAGAACAUUGGAGACAACAUGGGGUAAAGAUGUAUAGUCGUUUAGGUAUUCAUGAAUUUCUGCAACAUCAAUGGAGGCUAAGCCUUAUUAGGUUUUGGAAGAAGUGACUGAUAUAUUUGAGUAGUAGUAGGAGAAACAGUGGUUGAACUCACAUACAUAGUCUUAUUUAGUUUAAUUGACUUACUUCAUUUGUUCUGUAGAUCAUGGCUUUAUCCACAGUAGGCUAAAUGCUUGUGGAGCUAUUCUAUAGUAUGUC